UCCCCUGUGGCGCAAUCGGCAGCGCGUCAGACUGUUAAUCUGGAGGCUGUAAGUUCGAACCUUACCGGGGGAG
rnacentral:tRNA from 1 species